UACGGAAGGCAGCAGUGGGGAAUAUUGCACAAUGGGCGCAAGCCUGAUGCAGCCAUGCCGCGUGUAUGAAAAAGGCCUUCGGGUUGUAAAGUACUUUUCAGUCGUGAGGAAGGUGUUAAGGUUAAUAACCUUAGCAAUUGACGUUAGCGACAGAAGAAGCACCGGCUAACUCCGUGCCAGCAGCCGCGGUAAUACGGAGGGUGCGAGCGUUAAUCGGAAUUACUGGGCUAAAGGGCACGCAGGCGGUUAAUUAAGUUGGAUGUGAAUCCCCGGGCUUAACCUGGGAAUGGCAUUCAAGACUGGUUAGCUAGAGUCUUGUAGAGGGGGUAGAAUUCCAUGUGUAGCGGUGAAAUGCGUAGAGAUGUGGAGGAAUACCGGUGGCGAAGGCGGCCCCUGGACAAAGACUGACGCUCAUGUGCGAAAGCGUGGGGAGCAAACAGGGAUUAGAUACC
rnacentral:rRNA from 1 species